GUGGUAUCCUGUCUGAAUAUGGGGGGACCAUCCUCCAAGGCUAAAUACUCCUGACUGACCGAUAGUGAACCAGUACCGUGAGGGAAAGGCGAAAAGAACCCCGGCGAGGGGAGUGAAAAAGAACCUGAAACCGUGUACGUACAAGCAGUGGGAGCACAGAGCAAUCUGUGUGACUGCGUACCUUUUGUAUAAUGGGUCAGCGACUUAUAUUCUGUAGCAAGGUUAACCGAAUAGGGGAGCCGAAGGGAAACCGAGUCUUAACUGGGCGUUAAGUUGCAGGGUAUAGACCCGAAACCCGGUGAUCUAGCCAUGGGCAGGUUGAAGGUUGGGUAACACUAACUGGAGGACCGAACCGACUAAUGUUGAAAAAUUAGCGGAUGACUUGUGGCUGGGGGUGAAAGGCCAAUCAAACCGGGAGAUAGCUGGUUCUCCCCGAAAGCUAUUUAGGUAGCGCCUCGUGAAUUCAUCUCCGGGGGUAGAGCACUGUUUCGGCAAGGGGGUCAUCCCGACUUACCAACCCGAUGCAAACUGCGAAUACCGGAGAAUGUUAUCACGGGAGACACACGGCGGGUGCUAACGUCCGUCGUGAAGAGGGAAACAACCCAGACCGCCAGCUAAGGUCCCAAAGUCAUGGUUAAGUGGGAAACGAUGUGGGAAGGCCCAGACAGCCAGGAUGUUGGCUUAGAAGCAGCCAUCAUUUAAAGAAAGCGUAAUAGCUCACUGGUCGAGUCGGCCUGCGCGGAAGAUGUAACGGGGCUAAACCAUGCACCGAAGCUGCGGCAGCGACACUGUGUGUUGUUGGGUAGGGGAGCGUUCUGUAAGCCUGUGAAGGUGUGCUGUGAGGCAUGCUGGAGGUAUCAGAAGUGCGAAUGCUGACAUAAGUAACGAUAAAGCGGGUGAAAAGCCCGCUCGCCGGAAGACCAAGGGUUCCUGUCCAACGUUAAUCGGGGCAGGGUGAGUCGACCCCUAAGGCGAGGCCGAAAGGCGUAGUCGAUGGGAAACAGGUUAAUAUUCCUGUACUUGGUGUUACUGCGAAGGGGGGACGGAGAAGGCUAUGUUGGCCGGGCGACGGUUGUCCCGGUUUAAGCGUGUAGGCUGGUUUUCCAGGCAAAUCCGGAAAAUCAAGGCUGAGGCGUGAUGACGAGGCACUACGGUGCUGAAGCAACAAAUGCCCUGCUUCCAGGAAAAGCCUCUAAGCAUCAGGUAACAUCAAAUCGUACCCCAAACCGACACAGGUGGUCAGGUAGAGAAUACCAAGGCGCUUGAGAGAACUCGGGUGAAGGAACUAGGCAAAAUGGUGCCGUAACUUCGGGAGAAGGCACGCUGAUAUGUAGGUGAAGUCCCUCGCGGAUGGAGCUGAAAUCAGUCGAAGAUACCAGCUGGCUGCAACUGUUUAUUAAAAACACAGCACUGUGCAAACACGAAAGUGGACGUAUACGGUGUGACGCCUGCCCGGUGCCGGAAGGUUAAUUGAUGGGGUCAGCGCAAGCGAAGCUCUUGAUCGAAGCCCCGGUAAACGGCGGCCGUAACUAUAACGGUCCUAAGGUAGCGAAAUUCCUUGUCGGGUAAGUUCCGACCUGCACGAAUGGCGUAAUGAUGGCCAGGCUGUCUCCACCCGAGACUCAGUGAAAUUGAACUCGCUGUGAAGAUGCAGUGUACCCGCGGCAAGACGGAAAGACCCCGUGAACCUUUACUAUAGCUUGACACUGAACAUUGAGCCUUGAUGUGUAGGAUAGGUGGGAGGCUUUGAAGUGUGGACGCCAGUCUGCAUGGAGCCGACCUUGAAAUACCACCCUUUAAUGUUUGAUGUUCUAACGUGGACCCGUGAUCCGGGUUGCGGACAGUGUCUGGUGGGUAGUUUGACUGGGGCGGUCUCCUCCUAAAGAGUAACGGAGGAGCACGAAGGUUGGCUAAUCCUGGUCGGACAUCAGGAGGUUAGUGCAAUGGCAUAAGCCAGCUUGACUGCGAGCGUGACGGCGCGAGCAGGUGCGAAAGCAGGUCAUAGUGAUCCGGUGGUUCUGAAUGGAAGGGCCAUCGCUCAACGGAUAAAAGGUACUCCGGGGAUAACAGGCUGAUACCGCCCAAGAGUUCAUAUCGACGGCGGUGUUUGGCACCUCGAUGUCGGCUCAUCACAUCCUGGGGCUGAAGUAGGUCCCAAGGGUAUGGCUGUUCGCCAUUUAAAGUGGUACGCGAGCUGGGUUUAGAACGUCGUGAGACAGUUCGGUCCCUAUCUGCCGUGGGCGCUGGAGAACUGAGGGGGGCUGCUCCUAGUACGAGAGGACCGGAGUGGACGCAUCACUGGUGUUCGGGUUGUCAUGCCAAUGGCACUGCCCGGUAGCUAAAUGCGGAAGAGAUAAGUGCUGAAAGCAUCUAAGCACGAAACUUGCCCCGAGAUGAGUUCUCCCUGACCCUUUAAGGGUCCUGAAGGAACGUUGAAGACGACGACGUUGAUAGGCCGGGUGUGUAAGCGCAGCGAUGCGUUGAGCUAACCGGUACUAAUGAACCGUGAGGCUUAACCUU
rnacentral:rRNA from 1 species